UGCGCUCCUCUCAGUCCCUGAGACCCUAACUUGUGAUGUUAACCGUUUAAAUCCACGGGUUAGGCUCUUGGGAGCUGCGAGUCGUAAU
rnacentral:pre_miRNA from 1 species